rnacentral:rRNA from 1 species
GACGAACGCUGGCGGCGUGCCUAAUACAUGCAAGUAGAACGCUGAAGAGAGGAGCUUACUCUUCUUGGAUGAGUUGCGAACGGGUGAGUAACGCGUAGGUAACCUGCCUUGUAGCGGGGGAUAACUAUUGGAAACGAUAGCUAAUACCGCAUAACAAUGGAUGACACAUGUCAUUUAUUUGAAAGGGGCAAUUGCUCCACUACAAGAUGGACCUGCGUUGUAUUAGCUAGUAGGUGAGGUAAUGGCUCACCUAGGCGACGAUACAUAGCCGACCUGAGAGGGUGAUCGGCCACACUGGGACGGAGACACGGCCCAGACUCCUACGGGAGGCAGCAGUAGGGAAUCUGCGGCAAUGGGGGCAACCCUGACCGAGCAACGCCGCGUGAGUGAAGAAGGUUUUCGGAUCGUAAAGCUCUGUUGUAAGUCAAGAACGGGUGUGAGAGUGGAAAGUUCACACUGUGACGGUAGCUUACCAGAAAGGGACGGCUAACUACGUG